rnacentral:rRNA from 1 species
ACGUGAGACACGGCCCAGACGUCCUACGGGAGGCAGCAGUGGGGAAGUUUUGGACAAUGGGCGCAAGCCUGAUCCAGCCAUGCCGCGUGCAGGAUGAAGGCCUUCGGGUUGUAAACUGCUUUUGUACGGAACGAAAAGCUCUCUCUAAUACAGGGGGUGAAUGACGGUACCGUAAGAAUAAGCACCGGCUAACUACGUGCCAGCAGCCGCGGUAAUACGUAGGGUGCAAGCGUUAAUCGGAAUUACUGGGCGUAAAGCGUGCGCAGGCGGUUAUGUAAGACAGAGGUGAAAUCCCCGGGCUCAACCUGGGGAACUGCCUUUGUGACUGCAUAGCUGGAGUGCGGCAGAGGGGGGAUGGAAUUCCGCGUGUAGCAGUGAAAUGCGUAGAUAUGCGGAGGAACACCGAUGGCGAAGGC